AGGGGCCAAAUUGUCUGGGUGGAUGCAGGUUUCAGAAUGGGACUGUCUUGGGGCAGCUUGGUGUUCAGCAUCUUGUGCCCAGCGUGACUUCUCAGGGACCUUGGGUUGAUGCCGGUUGAUUCCCGACCUCAGCACUGAGUUCCUUUUGCAGGCCUCACUCUGCUCAUCUCCUGCCCCACCCAGGAUGCCUCCUGCCUCCAGCCAACCCUGGGAGCCCUGCAGAGAAGCAGAUGGCAGCUCCCUGUGCACACCCCAUGCCCCAUGCUUGCCCCAGCCAUGGUGCCCUCACAGUGGCCAUGACUGCUAGUCUCACUUGGUGCCCUACAGACUGUUGUUCCCUAUGGGUCAUCCCUGUGCUCCUGUACCCCUAGCUCUCAACUGUGGCUCAAGAGUUGGUCAGUGAGACAGAGAGCUCAGGCACCUGGCGUUGCAGUACAGCACCCUCAGCAAAUGCGAUCACACUCUGUCUCUUCCCAGAUACCCUCUCCUCCCCUGCAGGGUAGCUCCUCCCUGGGGACCUUUGCAUCUGGGAGUGGAGAAUGGGGGCAGCUCAUGGGGCUUUCUCCCUUCAGAAAUGAAGCCACUUAUUCCCAGUAAGGAAGCUGCGUGGCCAGGCUCCGGCGGCGACCCUAGUCCCACUGCACGGCCUUCCUAGUUCUUGAUGCUGUUCUGCCUGUCAUGAACAAGGCCCAUGGUGGCGAGAAGACCGUAUUCCGGGCCAGGUUU
rnacentral:sRNA from 1 species